rnacentral:lncRNA from 1 species
CUGGAUUGAGAAGAGGCUGUCAGAGUUUUUUAAUUGUGAUCGAUUAUUAUCAAAGUGAGUGACAAAGUACUUCCUGAGUUGCUCAAAUGAAUGAAUAGAUUUUGAUUACAAAUCAGAGUACCAUACUCACUCCAACUUCUUAAGCAUGGUCAAGAUAGCUAGGUAGAAGAGGGUAUCUGAAGCCCCUUAGAGCAUCAUAAGGAUCUUGUAGUCCUCCAAGUGGUUGAGUAGACCUGAGGAGCCAUCAUAUGGCUCCAUUUAUAGCAUCUUGAAUUGGCUCAUGAAUGGUUCUUCUAGUAUCUUUGGGGAUAAUGAGGGAUGCGAGUUGACAUUGAGGCAAUCAUCCUGUUAGAAAAUCGGAAAGGCAGCAUAUGUAGAUUUCAAAACUUUGAAAACAGGCAACAAAAAAUAAAAUGAAUUAAAUCCUUUAACUCC